rnacentral:rRNA from 1 species
AUUGAACGCUGGCGGCAUGCUUUACACAUGCAAGUCGAACGGUAACAGGCCGCAAGGUGCUGACGAGUGGCGAACGGGUGAGUAAUGCAUCGGAACGUGCCCAGUCGUGGGGGAUAACGCAGCGAAAGCUGCGCUAAUACCGCAUACGAUCUAUGGAUGAAAGCGGGGGACCGUAAGGCCUCGCGCGAUUGGAGCGGCCGAUGUCAGAUUAGGUAGUUGGUGAGGUAAAGGCUCACCAAGCCAACGAUCUGUAGCUGGUCUGAGAGGACGACCAGCCACACUGGGACUGAGAUACGGCCCAGACUCCUCCGGGAGGCAGCAGUGGGGAAUUGUGGACAAUGGGCGCAAGCCUGAUCCAGCAAUGCCGCGUGCAGGAAGAAGGCCUUCGGGUUGUAAACUGCUUUUGUACGGAACGAAACGGCUCUGGUUAAUACCUGGGGCUAAUGACGGUACCGUAAGAAUAAGCACCGGCUAACUACGUGCCAGCCGCCGCGGUAACAC